GCACCCGCCUCCGCCUCCUGCGCUCCGCCCCUCCCCGCCGCCCGCCGCCCCGGCGAGCCCCGCACUCCCGGGCCAGCCGCGGACCGAGCUUUGUCGCUACCACUUCCGCUGCGAGAGGCGCGCGCGCACGCGCACUCGCACGCACCGGCGGGGACGGCGGAAGUGGAGUGAAGACAGAGCUGCCCGCGCCGAGUGGGUUCUGGUUGGGUGCGGAGCAGUCGGUCCGAGUUCACCUUGUCUCUAGAAGAAGAGGGGUUGCUGGUGACAGAAGUCAUGGUCUGUCUUCCCUUCUGAAAACACAACCAGCUCCAUGAGAUCACCAAGCAAGAUUUAACGCGUUCAUGCCUGGGAACCACAAUUCCUGAUUAGAGCCACAACAAGAAGAAGGCAGCUGCUCCCCACGAGGCUUUGCCAAAGGAGAAUGACUGCAAGUUUGAAGGAAUAAAAAGGGAUUUGCUCCUUUCGGUUUUGCUUCCUGUUCCUGAGGGUCACACUAGCAAUGCUUCUUAGCAGCAGUUUAUUUCUAAAAGAGAAUCUGAAUCUAGCUUGUACUUUUCCCAACACUCUCACACCAGUCUCAUUGCCCCUCCCAGAGGUAUCAGCACAGCCAGGCAGUGUUCCCUCCUCAAAGGUCUGAAUCCCAGCCCCGGGACCCUCCUCUGAGUCUAGAGACCAGAGCACUCCCUGGCUAGUGCCACUCCUCAAAGAUCUGGGUCCUAGGUCCUUUCCCCACUUUGCUCUCGGAAUGUUUGGUGGGCCCAGACUUCUUGCACUUGCAUGCAUGGAAUUAAAAUUCAGGUCAUUGUAUUUGUAUAUUAAAGGUAAGGACAUCACAAGAAGGCUGGGGAACUGGGGGACAUAAUUCAGAUUAUGUGUUGAUUACUCCCAAACCUAUAUCAGUAUGCCAGACAUCUUUCCUAGGUUUAAAUGGAGAGCCUGUAUGUACCUCAAACAGAAUGUCUAAAAUUAAAUCAUAUUCCCCCUUUGCUCAAUGAAUUUUGACACUAUCUACCAGUUCCCUGCAAGAACUAUUUUUUUUAACCUUCACAAACAGUCUCCAAGGACUGUCAGUGUAUUUCCUAAACAUCUCCUAUUUUUCAUCUCUACUUUACAACCCUAUUUCAGAUUCACUGAACUCACUGGAUUACUGUGAAACCCUCCUAACUUGGUUUUUUUUUUUCUUUCUUCCAGGUUCUUUCACUUUUAAUCAAUUCUUGCUAGGAUGUGUAUAGCUUUAAAAAAGAUAAUAAAACAUUACAAUUUCCAGAACACAGUUCCAGAUCUGUCCAGUGACUCUGAAACACUUUUCUACCACUCCAAGUGAUUUAAGGCUCUUGUUUUUAUCACUAGUUAUGAGCAACUAGAUGAUGUGUCUUGGUGGUGUUUACUUCAUGUUUCCUGUGCAAUUUCAUUCUCUUGGAUCUUGAGUUUAUAGUUUCCAUAGUUUGGACAUUUCUUCUGUCCCCCACAGCCCCCACUUUCAGAGACUUCAAUAACAUGUACAUUUGGCUACUUGAAGUUGCCCCUCAACCCAUCGAUUCACUUUUUUUCUAUUCUUUUUUCUUCCUGUGUUUUACUUUGUAUACCUUCUAUUGCUAUGUCUUCAAUUCACUACUCUUUUCUUUUUCCUUGGCUAAUCUGUCAUUAAUC